UUAAGCGACUAAGCGUACACGGUGGAUGCCCUGGCAGUCAGAGGCGAUGAAGGACGUGCUAAUCUGCGAAAAGCGUCGGUAAGGUGAUAUGAACCGUUACAGCCGGCGAUGUCCGAAUGGGGAAACCCAGUGCAAUUCGUUGCACUAUCGUUAACUGAAUACAUAGGUUAACGAGGCGAACCGGGGGAACUGAAACAUCUAAGUACCCCGAGGAAAAGAAAUCAACCGAGAUUCCCCCAGUAGCGGCGAGCGAACGGGGAGCAGCCCAGAGUCUGAAUCAGCUUGUGUGUUAGUGGAACGGUCUGGAAAGUCCGACGGUACAGGGUGAUAGUCCCGUACACCAAAAUGCACAGGCUGUGAACUCGAAGAGUAGGGCGGGACACGUGGUAUCCUGUCUGAAUAUGGGGGGACCAUCCUCCAAGGCUAAAUACUCCUGACUGACCGAUAGUGAACCAGUACCGUGAGGGAAAGGCGAAAAGAACCCCGGCGAGGGGAGUGAAAAGAACCUGAAACCGUGUACGUACAAGCAGUGGGAGCACCUUCGGGUGUGACUGCGUACCUUUGUAUAAUGGGUCAGCGACUUAUAUUCUGUAGCAAGGUUAACCGUAUAGGGGAGCCGCAGGGAAACCGAGUCUUAACUGGGCGUUAAGUUGCAGGGUAUAGACCCGAAACCCGGUGAUCUAGCCAUGGGCAGGUUGAAGGUUGGGUAACACUAACUGGAGGACCGAACCGACUAAUGUUGAAAAAUUAGCGGAUGACUUGUGGCUGGGGGUGAAAGGCCAAUCAAACCGGGAGAUAGCUGGUUCUCCCCGAAAGCUAUUUAGGUAGCGCCUCGUGAACUCAUCUUCGGGGGUAGAGCACUGUUUCGGCUAGGGGGUCAUCCCGACUUACCAACCCGAUGCAAACUACGAAUACCGAAGAAUGUUAUCACGGGAGACACACGGCGGGUGCUAACGUCCGUCGUGAAGAGGGAAACAACCCAGACCGCCAGCUAAGGUCCCAAAGUCAUGGUUAAGUGGGAAACGAUGUGGGAAGGCACAGACAGCCAGGAUGUUGGCUUAGAAGCAGCCAUCAUUUAAAGAAAGCGUAAUAGCUCACUGGUCGAGUCGGCCUGCGCGGAAGAUGUAACGGGCUAAACCAUGCACCGAAGCUGCGGCAGCGACACUAUGUGUUGUUGGGUAGGGGAGCGUUCUGUAAGCCUGCGAAGGUGUGCUGUGAGGCAUGCUGGAGGUAUCAGAAGUGCGAAUGCUGACAUAAGUAACGAUAAAGCGGGUGAAAAGCCCGCUCGCCGGAAGACCAAGGGUUCCUGUCCAACGUUAAUCGGGGCAGGGUGAGUCGACCCCUAAGGCGAGGCCGAAAGGCGUAGUCGAUGGGAAACAGGUUAAUAUUCCUGUACUUGGUGUUACUGCGAAGGGGGGACGGAGAAGGCUAUGUUAGCCGGGCGACGGUUGUCCCGGUUUAAGCAUGUAGGCUGAUUGUCCAGGCAAAUCCGGAUAAUCAAGGCUGAGGUGUGAUGACGAGGCACUACGGUGCUGAAGUAACAAAUGCCCUGCUUCCAGGAAAAGCCUCUAAGCAUCAGGUAACAUCAAAUCGUACCCCAAACCGACACAGGUGGUCAGGUAGAGAAUACCAAGGCGCUUGAGAGAACUCGGGUGAAGGAACUAGGCAAAAUGGUGCCGUAACUUCGGGAGAAGGCACGCUGGUGUGUAGGUGAAGUCCCUGCGGAUGGAGCUGAGACCAGUCGAAGAUACCAGCUGGCUGCAACUGUUUAUUAAAAACACAGCACUGUGCAAACACGAAAGUGGACGUAUACGGUGUGACGCCUGCCCGGUGCCGGAAGGUUAAUUGAUGGGGUUAUCCGUAAGGAGAAGCUCUUGAUCGAAGCCCCGGUAAACGGCGGCCGUAACUAUAACGGUCCUAAGGUAGCGAAAUUCCUUGUCGGGUAAGUUCCGACCUGCACGAAUGGCGUAAUGAUGGCCAGGCUGUCUCCACCCGAGACUCAGUGAAAUUGAACUCGCUGUGAAGAUGCAGUGUACCCGCGGCAAGACGGAAAGACCCCGUGAACCUUUACUAUAGCUUGACACUGAACAUUGAGCCUUGAUGUGUAGGAUAGGUGGGAGGCUUUGAAGCGUGGACGCCAGUCUGCGUGGAGCCAACCUUGAAAUACCACCCUUUAAUGUUUGAUGUUCUAACGUUGGCCCCUGACCGGGGUUGCGGACAGUGUCUGGUGGGUAGUUUGACUGGGGCGGUCUCCUCCCAAAGCGUAACGGAGGAGCACGAAGGUUAGCUAAUCCGGUCGGACAUCAGGAGGUUAGUGCAAUGGCAUAAGCUAGCUUGACUGCGAGCGUGACGGCGCGAGCAGGUGCGAAAGCAGGUCAUAGUGAUCCGGUGGUUCUGAAUGGAAGGGCCAUCGCUCAACGGAUAAAAGGUACUCCGGGGAUAACAGGCUGAUACCGCCCAAGAGUUCAUAUCGACGGCGGUGUUUGGCACCUCGAUGUCGGCUCAUCACAUCCUGGGGCUGAAGUAGGUCCCAAGGGUAUGGCUGUUCGCCAUUUAAAGUGGUACGCGAGCUGGGUUUAGAACGUCGUGAGACAGUUCGGUCCCUAUCUGCCGUGGGCGCUGGAGAAUUGAGGGGGGCUGCUCCUAGUACGAGAGGACCGGAGUGGACGCAUCACUGGUGUUCGGGUUGUCAUGCCAAUGGCACUGCCCGGUAGCUAAAUGCGGAAGAGAUAAGUGCUGAAAGCAUCUAAGCACGAAACUUGCCCCGAGAUGAGUUCUCCCUGAGACUAUAAGUCUCCUGAAGGAACGUUGAAGACGACGACGUUGAUAGGCCGGGUGUGUAAGCGCAGCGAUGCGUUGAGCUAACCGGUACUAAUGAACCGUGAGGCUUAACCU
rnacentral:rRNA from 1 species